rnacentral:rRNA from 1 species
CAUAUAAGUAAGCGGAGGACAAGAAACUAAACAGGAUUCCCUUAGUAAUGGCGAAUGAACAGGGAUGAGCUCAGCAUGGAAAUCGGGGUCUCCCGACCUUGAAUUGUAGUCUGUAGAUGUACUGCCAACGGAGGCGCAGAUGUAAGCCUCUUGGAAAAGAGCAUCAACGAGGGUGAGAGUCCCGUUUGUCAUCUGCAGUCCCCCGUGCACGGUGUGCCUUCUAAGAGUCACGUUCCUCGGGAUUGGAGCGCAAAGUGGGUGGUAAAUUUCAUCUAAAGCUAAAUAUUGGUUCGAGACCGAUAGCAAACAAGUACCAUGAGGGAAAGGUGAAAAGGACUUUGAAAAGAGAGUUAAAAGUGCCUGAAAUUGCUGAAAGGGAAGCGAAUGGAACCAGUGUUCUUGAUGAGAUUGUUGCGUACUCUGGUGAUUGCUGGGUGUUCCACCGCAAGGGGGGCAUCUAGUUUUGAGCUAGAUGUGCGUGGUGUUUCUUGUCUUGUGUGUCACCGUCGGUGCACGAGCGAGUAAACCUCCAGGGGGCUGGUAACUCGACCACGGUUGAGUGAAUACCUUUGGCAGUACUCAUUUGUGUAUCGAUCCCUGCGUGUCUGGUUGCAGUGUUUGGGUCGCCUGGAAACUCCUGAAGGGCUUGUCCUCGAAGGAGUCCUUUUGGGCGCCCUGAGCAUCUCCCUGACACAAAGACGAUGACUAAAUGGUUCUAUUC